AUUGAACGCUGGCGGCAUGCCUAACACAUGCAAGUCGAACGGAGCGGCAGUGGGGUGCGUAAUACCUAGGAGUCUGCCUGGUGGUGGGGGAUAACGUCCGGCAACGGGCGCUAAUACCUCAUACUAUCACAUGAGACUAGGUCGGAUUCGCGAGUGGGUGGGGUAAAGGCCUACCAAGGCGACGAUCCGUAACUGGUCUGAGAGGAUGAUCAGUCACACUGGAACGGAAAAACGGUCCAGACGCCUACGGGAGGAAGCAGUGGGGAAUAUUGGAAAAGGGGCGAAAGCCUGAGCCAGACAUGCCGCGUGUGUGAAGAAGGCUUCCGGAUUGUAAAGUACUUUAAGUGGGGAGGCGUUACCAACAGAAUAAGCACCGGCUAACUACGUGCCAGCAGCCGCGGUAAUUC
rnacentral:rRNA from 1 species